CAAUUGUUUAUUGUGCAUUUGCCAUGCAUGCUAGGAUUGAAACAAUGUAUUACUUAUUCCCAAAUGUAGAAGAUAAUAAUAAAUAUUGUUUAUAUUGCAGGAUAAUGUAGAUACUAGUCCAGUUUUGACUAUACAGAAAGUAAAGGAAGCUUAUGAAAAUGCAUUAAGUCAUAACAAAACUGUUAGAGGAAUAUUCUUGACCAACCCUAACAACCCUCUGGGUGAUGUGUACAGCCCCGAGUUAUUGAUGGACAUUCUGAAGUUUUGUCACUUAAAAGAUCUACAUCUCAUAGUUGAUGAAAUCUACGCACUUUCGGUAUUUCACGGCGGCAACCAGUUUCAUAGUGUCUUGAAAUUUCCGGUACUUCCUGAUCCAAACAAAGUGCAUGUCUUAUAUGGAAUGAGUAAGGAUUUCGCAAUGGCGGGGUUGAGAAUUGGUAUGAUUCAUACAAAAUGUAAAAUGCUACAGAGAUGCUUGAAAGAGCUUUGUUUUUUGCAAUGCAUUCCUUUUCCGAUGAUGGAUAUAGCAGCAAGAUAUUUGGAAGAUUUAGAAUUCUGUAGAAAGUUUUAUGCAACAAAUAAAGAUCGUUUGACAACCAAAGCUUCAACCUUUGCAAAACGACUCACAGAUAUGGGACUGAAUGUUAGAAAAUCUGAUGCUGGUUUUUUUUUGUAGGUGGAUUUCAGAAAUAUCUGUGGAUCAGAAUCUUUUCGACAAGAAGGAGAUUUCUUUGACUAUCUUAUGGAAAAGUUCCAGUUAUACAUUGUGCCAGGAAAGGAAUUUUUUUGUGCUCAGCCUGGAUGGUUUAGGAUUUGCUUCACAGAAUUUCCGGAUGAUGUUGAAGAAGGACUCAACCGCUUGGAAAAAGCUAUGAAGGAAUAUAAAGGAGUGAAGAUGUAGCUUGUGUGACAUUAUGAGAGCUGCCAUCAUCUAUUUGAGUUUUCAAAAUUUGUUCAUGAAACUGUUGUACCAUCAAGCUCAUGUAAUGAGGAAUAUCAGCCAGGUAAUGAGGAAGAAGAAAUCCACUGAAGGUUGUAGAACGAGAAAGGAGCUAACAAAAAGGAGUAAUGUAAUUGCAGAAACUGUGAUGAGCAUGUUUUUAUUAAAGUUCAUUCUAUG